rnacentral:lncRNA from 1 species
UGUAUUUGUUCAUCCCAGAUCAUAAGGAGAGAAGAGAAAUCGACAAUUUGAUAAAGGCCAGGACUUGAGGCUUGCCUCAGGGAAACACCAUUAGAGGCUUGGGAUGUCACCUGUGGUUGGUGGCUGCGUGAGCUGUGGCCUUAAAGCCCCUGAGACAGCAGACGUGCAAAGUCAGGCCCUGCCAUCGACAUCCAGUCUGGCUCGCCAUUUCUCCCAUCCUAGGAUGUCAGCACCAUGGACAAGACCCAAGCCGAGCCCUGGAAGGUGGGGUCUGUGGGGAAUUCUGGUGAAGCAGGGGGCAGGCCCGUGCCCGUCUCUAGGUGGAAGGGAGCUGGUGUACGUUUCUCCACUGGGUGUCACUGCUGCCCUUGUUUUCUGUCACCUGAGGCUCUGGCAAGCUGCAAGGUGAUGAAUCAAAGACCGCCCCUCCCCCUCCUCCAACAAGGGAUGGGGAAGGAAUUACCUGGAUCAACUUAGAGAAUGCUGGCUUGGGGCCCAGUUAUGGGUUUUAGUUCUCACAUGCUACUUACCACACAGUGGCCCCAUUUGACCCCAGUGGUAAUAUUAGGGUUGGGGAAAGCUCUCUGAUGGAACAACGUGCAGCUGUUUGCUGCAGCCAGGACUUCCUAUCAUGUCCAUGUCAUCUCCUGCAAACAUCUGAGCGGGGCGGUGGCAUGAGCACUCCUGAGAAGGUGGAGGGGUAUGGGGGGCUUGGUGCCCCUGCCUCCCUGUGGGCCCGUCCACUCAGGCUCAGAACAGGCCAGUGCGUGCUCAGUGUGCCUGGCCCUUGGGGCUUUCCAUGAGGCCAGGGCAUGUACACAGAACGAGCAGCUGCAAAGCUGCCCCGUGGCACCUGCUCCUGGAGGAAGCACAGGGAGAAGAAGAUGGAGCCAGCUGGGAGGAUGAGAGAGAGGUGCUCACUGCUCUGUAGAAGCCAUCCUUGGAGGGCUCAGGGGUUACUGGGACAAAGACGGAUUGAGAAAGUGAAGGGGCAGCUUUUGUCAUGGCUCCUGCCUCCAGGGAGAACCUCACCAUGUGUUGGUGUGGUGUGGGCUCACCCUCCAGGACUCUGAAUAGCAACACUCUCC